UCAUAAAGGGAGCCCAUCCGUGUCCACAGCAGACAGGGCUGGUGCUCCCCAGCAGGUGGGGGUCAGAGGGUUGAAUUCCCUGAAGCUGAGCAGAGCUUCCCCUGCCUUGAUGUCCGCCCACAGCAGGACCACAGGGGUGCAGCAGGUGUGCAAGGAAGGCUGGAAGAAUCCAUGACCUGCAGAGGAAGUGCUUGCUCAGUGACUGGCAGGAUGGAGCCGCUGACUUUAGGGAGGAUGCGGACCAUCCAGCCUCGUGGUCGUCCCUUCAGAGACCUCCAAGCCCAUUUCUGUGUCACCAAGCGGGGGAGUGCUUCAUGAGUUUGGGUGUUCAAUCAAGGACACUUUGGGGCCCCUGGAGAAAGAACAAGGAUCAGUGCUUGAGAAAUUUUGCAGACCCUUCACUUGAUGGAUCAGCUGGCAUCACCCAGAUCGAUAAACUGGCUCAUCUGAUCUUGUGGCCCCCACCCAGGAACUGACUGAGCGCAAGAAGACAGCUCCAGGUCCCUAUGAUUUCAUCCCUGACCAUUCAGCAUUCCAAGCUCACUUGUUUCCCUUCAUCCACUAAGUUGUCCUUAAAAACUCUGCUCCCCAAAUGCUCAAGGAGACUGACUUGAAUAGUAAUAAAACUCUGUUCUCCCACAC